UACGUAGGGUCCGAGCGUUGUCCGGAAUUAUUGGGCGUAAAGGGCUCGUAGGCGGUUCGUCGCGUCGGGAGUGAAAACUCGGAGCUUAACUCCGAAACUGCAUUCGAUACUGCCGUGCUUGAGGACUGGAGAGGAGACUGGAAUUUACGGUGUAGCGGUGAAAUGCGUAGAUAUCGUAAGGAAGACCAGUGGCGAAGGCGGGUCUCUGGACCGGCAUUGACGCUGAGGCGCGAAAGCUAGGGGAGCAAACGGG
rnacentral:rRNA from 1 species